AACAACUCUCAGCAACGGAUAUCUCGGCUCUUGCAUCGAUGAAGAACGCAGCGAAAUGCGAUAAAUGGUGUGAAUUGCAGAAUCCCGUGAACCAUCGAGUCUUUGAACGCAAGUUGCGCCCGAGGCCAUCAGGCCAAGGGCACGCCUGCCUGGGCAUUGCGAGUC
rnacentral:rRNA from 3 species